UUUUUUUACUUUUAUCCUAUAUUCCUAUAGUUUUCUUCUUAAAUUAUAUUUUGGAACUUCGAGGUCGACGAAAGCUGUCGCGUGUAUUACGAAGGAUCUUUUUAAGCUAUUCCGUGUAUUACGUGGUUAGGAUCUCUUAAUUUAACAGAUACAUAAAGAAUAUUAAUUCUCAUGUGUGUGGAUGAAUCUGAUGUGUCAUAAAAUGUUAUUUAUAUACUUUUGUACUCGCCCAAAAUGUUACGAUGUCUUUUUUUUUUUGUCAAAGAAAAAACAGACUUCGUAACAUUUUUUUUUUGACAAAAUGUUAUGAUGUCUUUUGUGUUGGCUUUAGUGUUGAGGUUAAUAUGAAAUAUUUUUUUGACUGAAGGCUAGGUUAGUAUGAAAUAUUAUUCUCCAGUAUUUUAGAUAACAUAAUUUCAUUACAGUGUGGCAUGUUUCCUGAUAUGUACGUGCUGCGUAUUAUUCGAGACUGCGUAAGAGUUAAGACUAAGAAGAAUACCGUGUAGUACAGAUCAUUUAAAGGAUUAUGGAAAGUCGAGUUAUUGAACAAAACAAAAUGUAAGAGCCCGUGAAACUUGAAAGUGCAUAUAGUCGUGAAUAAUUAAUUAUAUCACAGAUGUAUGCAAUUAGUUAGAUGAAACUAUGGGUCACGGAAAAAUAAGAAAACUGAAACAUUUUGUCUCACACAUGAACAUGUGCAUUUAAGAAGCUGCCAACUAAUUAGAUUAGAGGGAGCAUUAUGCAGUUGACCAUUCAGACAGUAUAUUCGAUGCCAUUAGCCCAUUCAACCAUUUUCUUAAGCAGCCUCAAAUCUUGCUUCCAUUUUAUCACGAGGAUUGCUUAGCAUUUAUGCUCACUAUUAUAAAAGCUGCAUACUUAUUUGGCGCGCAGAUCCGCCGCUGUUUUAGUCCACCGUGAAUCUCAAGCUUCUUCCGCCGCAAACCGCUCACAUGUUCAAAGACCACGUGCUUCCCACAUGCGUCCCACACUUCGCCUCGCGUCUUCCAUGCUGACUUUUAAUAGUAUACAAAUAAGUAUAACUUUUUUUUGUCAACUAACAAUAUAACUUAUAUACAAGUAUAUUAUAGAGGCCAUUAGCUAGUUUCUCAAUUUUUUAACACAAGUGUUGUUUUAUUUUUCUCGUGUACUUCAAUAUGGAGUAGGAGAUAAUUUUCUAAAGUUUGCGUAAGCGUAAAUAUAAGCAUGUACUUGGUAAUGAUGCAAUGCAAAUUACUAGCUAGACAUUACGUAUCGCGUAUAUCGUGCAUGCAUUUUAUCAGCAUGAUCCUUGACCAAGAUAAAACUGUCCGUCCAGGUAAUUAAUCGUAUUCUAAGUACAUUCAAAAUGUUAACCACGGACAAUAUUGCACGAGUUUAUCUUAGUCUUUUUUUUUCGUGUGGUCAGGGAUUUGUAUCAGAGCUUGGAUAUACGUAGCGAUAAACUCGAGUUGUUCGGAAAAAUGCGGCUAGGAAUAAAAUACAGUAAUACACAACAAGAUAAGAUGGCGAAAGGUUCAGACUUUUGCUAGAAAAUGGAGGAAUGUAAUAUAAAAUUGGUGAUAUAAUAUAGCGAUGAUAAUGGUUGAGUUCUCCGCCAAUCCAUUUCUAACGCUCUAGAGACUUCUUAAUAUUUUUGAAGUUUUUUAUAUCAACUAAUUAAAGUCUAAACCACCCAUUAUAACCAUCAUGAUUAUUGCAUGCGACUAAACCAAAAACUUUAAAAAUUCAAUAUAUAGUGAUGUUAAUCUAUAUCACGAUCGGCGUCUUAUGAUAUUAUUCUUAAUUCCAUUUAUUAUUUAUAAUACGGCAUCUAUAUUUGAAUUUUGAACCACAUUUUGUUUGGCUAGUUCCGUAGACAAUUCGUGGUGAUUACAAGUUAAUGCUACAGAGUCAGAAAUCGGAAAUUCUAUUGUAAAUUAAUCUCAAUGAAAGAACUCACGCCCGCAGAUGAAUCAACACAUCACAGAUAUAAUUUAAUGUUUUGCAUUAUAU
rnacentral:lncRNA from 1 species